rnacentral:rRNA from 1 species
UACGGAGGUCGCAAGCGUUGUUCGGAAUCAUUGGGCGUAAAGCGCGUGUAGGCGGCCAUUUAAGUCGGAUGUGAAAGCCCGGGGCCCAACCCCGGAACUGCAUUCGAUACUGAGUGGCUGGAGUCCCGGAGAGGAAGGCGGAAUUCCCGGUGUAGAGGUGAAAUUCGUAGAUAUCGGGAGGAACAUAAGUGGCGCAGGCGGCCUUCUGGACGGUGACUGACGCUGAGACGCGAAAGCGUGGGGAGCAAACAGG